ACGAACGCUGGCGGCGUGCCUAAUACAUGCAAGUUGAGCGAUGAAGAUUGGUGCUUGCACCAAUUUGAAGAGCAGCGAACGGGUGAGUAACGCGUGGGGAAUCUGCCUUUGAGCGGGGGACAACAUUUGGAAACGAAUGCUAAUACCGCAUAACAACUUUAAACAUAAGUUUUAAGUUUGAAAGAUGCAAUUGCAUCACUCAAAGAUGAUCCCGCGUUGUAUUAGCUAGUUGGUGAGGUAAAGGCUCACCAAGGCGAUGAUACAUAGCCGACCUGAGAGGGUGAUCGGCCACAUUGGGACUGAGACACGGCCCAAACUCCUACGGGAGGCAGCAGUAGGGAAUCUUCGGCAAUGGACGAAAGUCUGGCCGAGCAACGCCGCGGGGGUGAAGAAGGUUUUCGGAUCGUAAAACUCUGUUGGUAGAGAAGAACGUUGGUGAGAGUGGAAAGCUCAUCAAGUGACGGUAACUACCCAGAAAGGGACGGCUAACUACGUG
rnacentral:rRNA from 1 species